GGAUCCUAAAUUUGACCUUCUUGUGUGGUGGAAACACAAUUCAACACAAUAUCCUAUUUUAUCUACAAUAGCUAAAGAUAUUUUUGCCACACCAGUGUCUACGGUUGCAUCAGAAAGUGCCUUUAGUACGGGAGGGAGAGUCUUAGAAACUUAUAAGAGCUUCCUAAAACCUGAAAUGGCAGAGGCAUUAAUUUGCACCCAGAAUUGGUUAAAGCCGUCUUUUACCUAUUUCAAAGACUUGAACCUCAUGGAAGAUUUUGAGCUUUCUGAAGAUAUUAUAGCAGAAUUUGAAGAAAUUUCUUCUACAGCAAGAAGAGGAUCUUUACCGUCUCAGCCACAACCUUCUGGUUGUGCUUGAAAAAUAUGGAGUUCAACUAUGUUUUUUGAAGUCAUAUGUGACUUAUAUUUUGUGACUACUCAAUGGUCAAACAAUAUAUAUUUUGUCCUGUGGAUUUUGAAGAUAUUCAAGGA